GUUUGUUUUAAUUUCGUCAUUGCUCUUAUUAAUAUCGAUCAAUUUCUCCAUAUGUACAAUUAAAUGCUUUGAAGCCUAUAUUUAAGCAUACGACAUGCUGCAUUAUAGGUAAAGAAAAAAAAAUGAUUGAAAUGAUUUUCUUUAGCCUUUUGGUUUGAAGAAACUGAACCACAGUCUCAGAAUCCUAGCUGGAUUGCUCAUUUCCUUGUUCUAUCUUUACAGCUUUUAUAACUAUUCUUUUAUUCCUUGUAUGGCUGUGAGCACACAUUGCAUAUUCAAAUGAAACGUUAUAUUUGAUAAUAACUCCUCAAAGGGGGAGUAGUCAGUGGUCUUUUCUACUUGUAGUCUUACCCCACAGCACAGACCAUUUCGUAGCAUCCUAGGCACUAUUUAAAUUGAGCAAGUUCAGUCUAAUUAGAAUUCAAAACAAGAAAAUCCAUCAAUUCUAAUUUAAUCAAAUUGACCAUAUUUGCUCGGUUUUAUUUAUAAGAUGUUUAAAAAAUUAAAAAGAAAGACUUUAUUUUCUAAAGCAGUGAUCCUAAGAAAGGUAUCGUUAGAGAAAUACCCAUCAUUAGGUACUUAUUUUCUAUUAAGCUAGAGGACUCCAAAUAAAGAAGCCAAACCUUUUACUGUACAACCAUGAACACACACGGUAUACAUCAAUUUCUUUUUGGAAAAAGAUAUGCAAAUACCAUUUUUAUUUCUAUUUUUUGAAAGUAGGAUAAUUGAAAAGGUUUCACUUUCUCUGAAAGGCGCUUAACUUUAUGUAGCUGCUCAAAUUAUUAUACUUUUCCCAAGUUUUUUUCUCUUUUUUUUUUUUUUUCUUAAAGAACGUUUAAGAUAGUUUCAAAUAUCUUAAUGUCUGUGCUAAGGGAAGGCUGCGUUCCCAUUAUAAAGCUUUUCAGAUGAAUGGAAUAGCUUUAGAUCAUAAAAGACAUAGCAUAGAAAAACUAUAUAUAAUUACAUGAAUCAUGUCUCUCUAUUACUUUCUUCUCUAAUUUUAUGCCAAAAAUACGACUACUUCUUGAGUGCGAUUUAUUGGAAAAAGAAAAGAUGGAAUUGUUCAUAAAAAAAUGUCUUCUCAUCUUCUCUCUUUUCAAUUCCUUUUAUGCUCUUCUCUCCCUUGCUAUCAUUUUCUUACCUUAUAUGACCAUUUAUUCUCUUUCAUCAUUAAUUUCUUUUUACCAUCAAUUAUGUUUGACAAUUUUAAUUACCUUUGCAGUCUUUUAAUUAAAAAAUUCAAGAUUUUACGAUGAUUAUAUUUCUUAUAAUAAUAUUAGUAUAUAGGAUAAUAUUACUUCAAUUAUUGAAAUAAAAAAUAGUUAAACGUGAAAAUUGAAUAAUAGUUAAUAAUAAAAUAUUGAAAUAUCUCUCAACAAAUAAUAUCUAGUUUCAAUACAUAUUGAUAAUAUAAAAUUUAAUAUUUACAGUAAUAAUAUACCUAUGAAUUCUAUCAUAAUCAGUAUAAUCUUAUAAUUUACAUAUUUGUUAUUUUACAGAUUUCGGACUAUGUAUAAAAUUAUUUUAUUAAAUUUAAAUCAUGUCAGUGCUAAUAAAAAUGAAAGAGGAAAAAUAAUAAUACCACGUGCCGGGAAUCUAAUGCAGAGGAAAAUGAUAAAUCCAGCGUUGAAUUGUCUCUAAAAAGAUAUGCUUUAAAUUGUAAUACUUUUAAUUCAUCAAUAACUGCUUUGUAAUUCUAAUCAAACACUUGUAGUUCUUUCUUUCUUAAAAAAUAAAAAAACACUUUUGGCUCGAGUGUUUCAUAUUAAAAUCAGCUAAUAAGUUGCUAAACACCGAAAAAUAUGAAAAAACAAGAGAGCUAUCAUUGACUUGGGUUAUUGUUUGAUGCAUCUUAUUGGGCUUUACGUUUAGGUUGCUGAUUUUCAACAAAACACUAAAAUGGACCGGAAAGCAUUAAACCAUUCAGCGUGCCUAACAAAAUAUAAAAUCCCUAACCUAUCCUUUGAAGCCUUUCUCUCUUUUGAUUGUACGGUUUGUGUUGUGUGAGCCAGAAAGCGCGAAAAAAAAGCAGCGGAUGAACACAACCCGCCACCAUGUGACGCAUGCACAGAAGAGGUUUGAUGAGAAUAUUUGCAAGUCUGCCAAGAAAGGUUUGACACCCUCUACAAUUGGUGUUAUCCUUCGUGAUUCUCAUGGGAUUGCUCAAGUGAAGAGUGUUACUUGCAGCAAGAUUUUGCGUAUAUUGAAGGCAUACGGUAAGAAUGCUGCUUCUCUUGAAUGUUAGUUAUUUUAAUUGAACUAGAACUUCUUUUUUGUGAUUAAUUACUUUUCUGUACUUGCUUCACAUUGGCUGACUUAUGAUGUUGAUCAAUUUAAUGAUUUUAUUGUA